UACGUAGGGAGCAAGCGUUAUCCGGAAUUACUGGGUGUAAAGGGUGAGUAGGCGGCAUGGUAAGCCAGAUGUGAAAGCCUUGGGCUUAACCCGAGGAUUGCAUUUGGAACUAUCAAGCUAGAGUACAGGAGAGGAAAGCGGAAUUCCUAGUGUAGCGGUGAAAUGCGUAGGUAUUAGGAAGAACACCAGUGGCGAAGGCGGCUUUCUGGACUGAAACUGACGCUGAGGCACGAAAGCGUGGGGAGCGAACAGG
rnacentral:rRNA from 1 species